AAGUGGAGCAAUCCAUGAGUAAAGCGGCGACCGGGUGAGUAACACGUGACUACCUGCCCUCGAGUGGGGAAUAACUCCGGGAAACCGGGGCUAAUACCGCAUAACAUCGCAAGAUCAAAGCAGCAAUGCGCUUGAGGAGGGGGUCGCGGCUGAUUAGCUAGUUGGUAAGGUAACGGCUUACCAAGGCGAAGAUCGGUAUCCGGCCUGAGAGGGCGCACGGACACACUGGAACUGAAACACGGUCCAGACUCCUACGGGAGGCAGCAGUGGGGAGUUUUGCGCAAUGGGGGAAACCCUGACGCAGCAACGCCGCGUGGAGGAUGAAGCCCCUUGGG
rnacentral:rRNA from 1 species